UUUGAAUUUCNCUUGGNUCUGGCCNNUGCAUGCUAGUGCCAACGGACUGAUUAAGAGCUUGCUCUUAUGACGUUAGCGGCGGACGGGUGAGUAACACGUGGGCAACCUGCCCUGUAGAUCGGGAUAGCACCGAGAAAUCGGUGCUAAUACCGGGUAAUAUCUGAGAUCACAUGAUCUUAGGUUAAAAGAUGGCUCCGGCUAUCACUACAGGAUGGGCCCGCGGCUCAUUAGCUAGUUGGUAAGGUAAUGGCUUACCAAGGCGACGAUGCGUAGCCGACCUGACAGGGUGAUCGGCCACACUGGGACUGAGACACGGCCCAUACUCCUACGGGAGGCAGCAAUANGGAAUCUUCCCAAUGGACGAAAGUCUGACUGAGCAACGCCGCGUGAGUGAUGAAAGGUUUCCGCUCGUAAAGCUCUGUUGUUAGGGAAGAACAAGUAUCGUUCGAAUAUGGCGGUACCUUGACGGUACCUAACCAUAAAGCCCGGCUAACUACGUGCCANCAGCCCGCGGUAAUAC
rnacentral:rRNA from 1 species